rnacentral:rRNA from 1 species
AUUGAACGCUGGCGGCAGGCUUAACACAUGCAAGUCGAGCGGAGAUGAGGUGCUUGCACCUUAUCUUAGCGGCGGACGGGUGAGUAAUGCUUAGGAAUCUGCCUAUUAGUGGGGGACAACAUUCCGAAAGGAAUGCUAAUACCGCAUACGUCCUACGGGAGAAAGCAGGGGAUCUUCGGACCUUGCGCUAAUAGAUGAGCCUAAGUCGGAUUAGCUAGUUGGUGGGGGUAAAGGCCUACCAAGGCGACGAUCUGUAGCGGGUCUGAGAGGAUGAUCCGCCACACUGGGACUGAGACACGGCCCAGACUCCUACGGGAGGCAGCAGUGGGGAAUAUUGGACAAUGGGCGGAAGCCUGAUCCAGCCAUGCCGCGUGUGUGAAGAAGGCCUUAUGGUUGUAAAGCACUUUAAGCGAGGAGGAGGCUACUUUAGUUAAUACCUAGAGAUAGUGGACGUUACUCGCAGAAUAAGCACCGGCUAACUCUGUGCCAGCCGCCGCGGUAAUAC